ACUCCUACGGGAGGCAGCAGUGGGGAAUAUUGCACAAUGGGGGAAACCCUGAUGCAGCCAUGCCGCGUGUGUGAAGAAGGCCUUCGGGUUGUAAAGCACUUUCAGUGGGGAGGAAAGGUUGAUGGUUAAUACCUAUCAGCUGUGACGUUACCCACAGAAGAAGCACCGGCUAACUCCGUGCCAGCAGCCGCGGUAAUACGGAGGGUGCAAGCGUUAAUCGGAAUUACUGGGCGUAAAGCGUGCGCAGGCGGUCUGUUAAGCGAGAUGUGAAAGCCCCGGGCUCAACCUGGGAACUGCAUUUCGAACUGGCAGACUAGAGUCUUGUAGAGGGGGUAGAAUUCCAGGUGUAGCGGUGAAAUGCGUAGAGAUUGGAAGGAACAUCAGUGGCGAAGGCGGCCACCUGGACAAAAACUGACGCUGAGGCACGAAAGCGUGGGUAGCAAACAGGAUUAGAUACCCUGGUAGGAUAGCG
rnacentral:rRNA from 1 species